CAGCCCACAAUCAAGGGGAGGGUAGAUAUGUUCUACCUCUUGACAUGUAGUAUGAACAUAAAGUGGAUUUUUACUUGCUAAAGUAGAAAGAAGAUCCCAACAUUUGAUGAGAAAAUAUACAGAAGGCAUAGGUCACAUGUCUGACUCACAGCUGCGAUGUGGUGGAUCCAAAUCUCUCUGAGGCCAAAUACUGCCCAGCUCGAAUGAACGCUAUGCUCCAUGCCUGAAACAACUGCUCCAGCCCUCAGAAAAGAGUCUCCCAUUCAACUGAAGUCUGCAUAUCAGAUUCCCGUGGGAUAAUUCAUAAAGGCUCCUUGAAGUUAAUUCUGGGUAUAUCCUGAAAUAGAGGGUCUCCUCUGUUUUUUCUUCUUUUUUUCCACAACUGAGGAGACACUAGUGCCUACUUAUCUCAAUAAUGGGAUUUCUCUUUGAUGCAAUUGCAGUUUUUA
rnacentral:lncRNA from 1 species